rnacentral:rRNA from 1 species
GACGAACGCGGCGGCGUGCCUAAUACAUGCAAGUAGAACGCUGAAGAGAGGAGCUUGCUCUUCUUGGAUGAGUUGCGAACGGGUGAGUAACGCGUAGGUAACCUGCCUGGUAGCGGGAGAUACUAUUGGAAACGAUAGCUAAUACCGCAUAAUAUUGACUAUUGCAUGAUAGUUGAUUAAAAGGUGCAAUUGCACCACUACCAGAUGGACCUGCGUUGUAUUAGCUAGUUGGUGGGGUAACGGCUCACCAAGGCGACGAUACAUAGCCGACCUGAGAGGGUGAUCGGCCACACUGGGACUGAGACACGGCCCAGACUCCUACGGGAGGCAGCAGUAGGGAAUCUUCGGCAAUGGACGGAAGUCUGACCGAGCAACGCCGCGUGAGUGAAGAAGGUUUUCGGAUCGUAAAGCUCUGUUGUAAGAGAAGAACGAGUGUGAGAGUGGAAAGUUCACACUGUGACG